AUGAAACUGGCUAACUUGAUAUAAAACAGAUCAAAGUCCUACUGUAGCAGAUCAAAGGCAGCAAGUAGGGUGGGAUGAUCUGGCCAGCAAGCACAGGUCCGGCUGCACGGCUGUUAGUGUGGAGCGCCUUCUGUGUUUGUAGGCAAACACCUGCUGCCCAGAGCCCUGGACCCCCCUCGUUUUAGCUCCUGUCUCAGGAUGCUAGCAAGCAGGGGGUCUCUGGGACCCUGCUCCAGUGUUAUUUCAGAUUGUAAAAUGUGUAUGGCUUGGCACCAGACUUUUAGAUGUCAAACAGUUGGGAGGCCCAGAGCUCCCUCUUGAUGAACGUCCCUGUCAUUCACUUCUGUGGCCAUCAAAGUUCUUUAGGGAGCACCCCAGAGGGCCGUUCCCUUCCUGGUCUAAGUGGCCUGCCAUCCCCUGCUGGUGCACACCCUGGUCUGUUUAGUUACAGCUGAUACGUAGCAGUUCUGAGUUUCAGUUUGGAAGCUGACACAGCUUCAGAAGGCUGAGCCCUGGGCUGAUCAUUUAACAGCUGGGGGAGCUUAGACAUGUCUGCAUGUUUGCUCAUCUACAAACCAGAGUAAUAAAAAUCCAUCCUUUGCAGAGUUGUUGUGACGAUCUGGUGAGAGAGUGCAUGUGAAAAUCUGUCAGUGAUGAGAGAACACUUACUGAAGGUGGGCUCGUGGCUGGACCCGUGAGGGUAGAUAUGGAAACAGCCCUGCUGGAUUGUGGUCUUGGGAAAUGGCGUGGUGAGGAGAGGGUCUCCCACUUACGAGGACCCAGCACCCUCAUCCUCAGAAGAAAUCACCGCUCCUCUGACGGAGGACAGGUGCAGACUGCACCCUGCUGCCUGGAAGCACAGCAUCCACCUGCUGGGAGUGUGGGGAUCCCAGCAGCUGCCCGCGUCUGCCCGGCCAGGGCCCAGACACCCACCCGAGCCUGGGCAAUGUGCCUGCCGCUAGUCAUCGGUCACCUAGUGAGGUCCCCGGAGUGCCAUGAACUCUAACAGUGCUGAGUUAAUGGAGAAACAGAAUAGCUUCCCUGUUCACCAGCAAUUUGCAUGCGGAGAUCUAGCUGUCAGAAAUAAAGCGAAGCCUUCACACACGACACCUCCCAGUGACAUGUGUGAACACACACGCCACAUGUAGCUCGGCUUCCCCGCCUCAGAAGCAUGGUGAGUCUUCCAGAAGGGGUGGGGAGGGGCAAAAUCAAAGACCAAAAAUGCAUACAGAAUUCUUUUAUUUAACUUAAACCAUGUAGUACUUUAACUACUAGAAAAAAGCAGAGUAAGAGAAACUAAAGUUGCCUUAGCUUCAGCCAUUCAAAAUAGACAAAGUUUCUUUUUUUUCAUAAUGUAAAGAAUCCAGAGUAUAUCGCAAUAACAGGAAUAAAUUCUUACAACAGAAUAUACAAAAAACAUUUUGAAAUUUUUUUCAUCUACUGAUUUUUUUAUAUAAACAGAGGAAUUUUUUUAGGAAUAAUUUAUACACAGAAAGUCAUUUUAUGUAACAAAUUGGCCAUGUUAUUACCUUUUUUUUUUACUUUUUUUUUUUUAAAAACAUUUUUU